GCGCCCAUAGCUCAGUUGGAUAGAGCAACGGAUUUCUAAUCCGUAGGUCGGAGGUUCGAAUCCUCCUGGGCGUG
rnacentral:tRNA from 1 species